GGCGAAAGCAAUCUAUCAAACCCUUCAAUUUCUAUUUCAAAAGCCUUUUCAACGAUCUACAAUGGCAAUGAUUCCUAGCUUCUUCGGUAACCGACGAAGCAGCAUUUUCGAUCCUUUCAAUUCUUUCGACCUUUGGGAUUCAUUCAAAGACUUCCCAUUUCCUUCUUCCUCUUCAAUCAUCUCUCGUGAAAAUUCUGCUUUUGUUAAUACUCGCAUAGACUGGAAAGAAACUGCAGAAGCUCAUGUCUUUAAGGCUGAUCUUCCUGGGCUUAAAAAGGAGGAAGUGAAAGUAGAGAUUGAAGAUGACAGAGUGCUUCAAAU
rnacentral:misc_RNA from 1 species